GCUGUCCAGGGCACGCAGCUGUCCUGCAGGUCAGGACCCUGAGCUGCAAGGAGCCUCGCAAGCGGGCACCCAGCCCUCCGACUCAUGGACAGGAGACAGAAGCACGGAGAAGUGAAGGGGCUUGCACAGGUCCAUGUGUCUCCUCAGGGGGCACGGUCGAGGUGUCAGCUACGGCAGCAGAGGGUCCCCAUUUCAUUCAGCUAACAACGGCAGUCCAGGAGCUGGAGACCGAGGCCACUCCAAACCCCUCUGAGCUCCGUUCAUGAGAGCAAAAUGGAAGUGCAUUCACUUCACUGCCAGGGGGCACCUGAUGGACGGGGACCCAUUCACCACAGCUCCCGGUGUGCCUGGCAGCCUCUCCAGAGACGGACAGGAACACAGAAAUCUGGCUUUCGGCAUCCUGAGCUCUAGAGUCACCCAGGCGUGUCACAGUGGCGAUUUAAUUGGACCCCGAGGAAGACAAUGAGGUUCUUAGCUCAGUGUGGGUGAGGGGUUCAUCCGCCUUGAGGAGCCUCCAGCUGAUAGGAGCUGGCUAAGCAGCUUCUAUGCCUGGUGGCCACGGCUGCAGAGCAGACCAGCCGGCUACGCCCUGGAAAGGAAGGAGGAGAAGGACGGGCGAGGAGGAAUGUGAGCAGACCCAGGGGGAGCGAGGCAGGGCAGGAAGGACCUUGAUCACAAAUGAAGGUAUUUCUUCUUUCUUUUCUUUUGUUUCUCUGAGCAAUCCCAAAUUCACUAUUAAUCACCCCAGACCUGGCUUGUUGAUAACUGUUGAUUUCCCCUGCACACCUGUUCAUAUUUCUGAUGGAAAUGUAUUACACAAUCACGCCGUCGGCUGGUGAUUACCAUGGUAAUCAGGUACGCUCACUGGCAGGCCGGCAGGCCUCUUGAAAACAAGAUUCUGAAGACAGGGGCUUCCAUUCCACCUACGUUGUGCCUGGGGGGCAAGGGGAAUGAAGCAGGCCUGGGGCAGGUGCGGGGGUUGGUUCCUUCUCUGGGGAAGUCCUGGCCCACAGGGCAGUGCCAAGAGCCUCCAGGAGGGCUCUGCAGGAAGUCAGGGGAUGAACUAGACAGGGGGGCAGGGAAAUGGGGGGCAAACCCUGCCUCCCCUGGGGCCUCAGGGCCCUGCAGUGCGCAGAUCCCUGGGGACCGUUUGGCGGGAUCCCACGUGAAGAGAGGGUCAGAGCUCCCAGGAGCCCAAGACCAGGAUCCUUGGCCAGAACAGGAUUCAACCUCCCACGUGCACCUCAGGAACCACCUCUGUGCCUUUUGGAACAUUACAGAGAUGCUUCUCCCUAUCACGGGAUGAACGUUUAAGGUCUGGUGAAAGCCCCCACGUGUCUGAACUAUAGCAUGUGGCCCCGAAGCAGUCUACUCUAAGUUUGCAAGAGCUCCAGGCAGACUGCUGGGCUUCAGAUCCCAGCUCCACCCCUUUCCUGGCUGGGUGACCUCGGGCACGUUACUUAACCUCUCUUUUCCUUCUCACUGGCCAAAGACCCAUGAUAGGAAUUUCUAAUGCAUAGGACUGUGGUGAGGAUUAAGUGAAUCGAUGCAUGUAAAAUGGUUAGAACAGGCCCGCCACAGGGUAAGCCCUCAAAAGGGCCUGGGACACAGCAGCGCCUCCCCUCUCAGGGCAUGGGGGACAGAGAGGGGUGAGGGUACAGCUGGUAUUCUGGACUUUGUGCAAACACUGCCUCACCUCCUCCUGCGGGCACCCCCACGUCACCCUCUCCGAACAACGAGCAGACUGUGGCCCCUGGAACCCAGACCUCCUGCCUCCCUGCCCACAGCAUUUUCAAUUUCCUUCCCAAAGGCAUUGGUCUGCUGGCCUCUGGCUGUCCACCCAAAACUAGGACCCAGCCCUCCUUCUCACCCCCAUACCCCGCACUCUGACUGCAGUCCUGGAAAAUGCAGGCCUCGUGGGCACCAGGUUCCAGGACAGAUAAACAUCUACAGCAUUUAGUCUCUCGGGCAAUUGCUCCUAUAGGUUAAAUGGUGUCUAAUUAAAGACCUCCCCCACAGUUACAGCAGUGGUUGCGUCUCUCGCGCUGUUCCAGGCUUGGCACAGCCUGCUCGCUUUAACAGAAGAAGGGCUGUCGUUAACGGAAUUAUUGUAGGCUGCACCAGACACUGUAUGAUCCAGAUCAGGCCCAGGGCUGUGGGCUCUGCCUCUCAGAACCCGCCCACCGGAGGCAGCUGACAGGCCAUUAUUCUGUGUCCUGCAAACUGUGCAGUGAUAAGGAAACCCCACCAAUUUGAUGCUUUAUCUGGUUGCAGGUUGAGGGAAGAUACUAUUUCAAUCAAGAUAAUGAUUCCAUUUCUUGGACGGAAAUGAGAUUUUUCUUUUUUUUUUUUUUCACCCCCUGGCCUCAUGGGGGUACCACCAAAAUCCGUCUCGGGGCUGAAACAGGUCAGGCACAAGUUAGAGGAUUUUUCUGGCAACCUCAGAGAGAGUAUGAACAUGAAGGAGAAGGGAAAGGGGGGAGUUUGCUUGCAAGAAAAAACACGCACACGCCAGGCCUAUGAGAUUACAAAGUCAGCUCUCUAUUUGGCCAUUUAUAGGCAUUAGGCAGCACCCGGGAAACCAAAAUUGGGAAGAUAAGCUCACAGAGCAUGAGCACGAUGGCCUGGAUUUCAAACAAGGUAAAGGGCCUAUCAAGGCAAUAAUGAUAAUGAAGCUCCAGAGACAGGACACUCAGCCAGGACAGGACCCGGGUAGCCAACCUGCCCCCCGCCCCCUGGCACUCAGGGGAUACACUUCCUGUGUGACUUUGUAGACACGUGUCCUGGCUAUUCUUUCACCUCCUAUAACAGGGAGCUCCCCGACCUGGAGAGGGUCCUCCAUCACUGACCAGCCAGCUCCUGUGCUGGGAAAGCACCUCUGAAUCCGGGCAGUCACUCCAUGAAAGGAAAACACGGUAGAAGAGUCUACAAGGUGCUGGCACUAAAGGGCAUCUAAACACACAGGAGUAACGAGUCCCGUUGCAGUGAGUCAUCGAACAAUAUGCAAAUGCCAUCAGGCAAUAAAUACAGUGAGGCUGGAAUAAUUGGGACUAGGUGGUGAAUUCUGUGAAAUUUUACAUUAUUUUAAAUAUUUGAGGCUUUCAAGGGCUGUAAUACAGCAUCUCGAACUCUUUAUCGGUGAUUUGCCUUAAUGAGGAAGUAGUAAAAAUUUGCAAUUCCAACAUAGAUUGUAUAUACAGUGACUUUAAAAAGUUUGGAAGUGUCGGGUUUGGAUGCAUUUGGAACAUUCUGUUGAGAGCAGACUGGGUGGAUUGCUCUCUCUCUCUCUCUCUCUCUCUCGCUCUCUCUCUCUCUCCAAACAAAAGGCACAUUUGAGCUCAUCUGCUUUGGAAGGAAGACACCGACAGCGGUUGUCUCACUGUAUUGCAUUAGACGCACCAAAGCUUUGAAAUCUACCCCCCGCCGUUGUCGGUGUGCAUAGACUGUCCUCGGAAAGUAACCCCAAGCCCUGGUAACGUAGGGUGUCACCAGGAGGGGAGCCAGGCCACCUGGGGACAGACAUGGGAAGGAGACUUGUCACUGUAUACCUUUUGGUAUGUUUGCAUUUAGAGUCAUGGGACUGUAUGACCUAUUGAGAAUAAAGUGACAGUUUAAAAAAAAAAAAGCACAUACUUAUUUCAGUGAAGACAGAUUCUGGCACUACCGAUUUCUAUCGUAAUACCUACGCUGUUAAAAUGCAAGCUUACUACGAUAAAAAUUACUGCUAAGUCCGGUGCAAAACCACAUCUGGUUG